AUGCUCACUUUGGCAGCACAUAUACUAAAACUAGAAUGAUACAGAGAAAACUAGCAUGGUCCCUGCACAAGGAUGGCAUGCAAAUUUGUGACAACUAUUUUCUUCUC
rnacentral:snRNA from 1 species